rnacentral:rRNA from 1 species
UACGGAGGAUGCGAGCGUUAUCCGGAUUUAUUGGGUUUAAAGGGUGCGUAGGCGGAUCGUUAAGUCAGUGGUCAAAUUGAGGGGCUCAACCCCUUCCCGCCAUUGAAACUGGCGAUCUUGAGUGGAAGAGAAGUAUGCGGAAUGCGUGGUGUAGCGGUGAAAUGCAUAGAUAUCACGCAGAGCCCCGAUUGCGAAGGCAGCAUGCCGGCUUCCGACUGACGCUGAAGCACGAAAGCGUGGGGAUCGAACAGG